UUGGCGGCCGCGCUUCCCCCGUCGGGGCGACGCUCGGACUGACGGUUAUAAAUGUUAAACAAAUCUGACCGGUUGGACCCGGUGCCGUACAAUUCCAUCUGCACAAAAAUACAGGUUACAAACAAAGGGAAGCAUCAGCAUUAAAAGAAAAGGGAGACAACAACAACAACAAAAAAAAAAAAAAAGGAGGAGGAAAGCAAACGAACAAAAACCCCGAACCGAACCCAACGCGACGUCCUCAGCUCCACGCAGCGCCGAUCCCGUGAAGUUGGAGCGGGCAGAAACACGCACACGGGGGGGGGGACGACGACCAGAAAACCCACCUUUUUACAACAAAAGGUUUUUCUUUCCGAAAAGGGAAAAAAAUAGAAGAAACGCUCUUAGGAAACGAACGGGACUGCGGGAGCCGAACCUCCUCCCAAAGCACGCCGGGUUUGCGGGGUUGGAAGGCCGACGCCAGAAGAGUUGAAGUUAAGGAAAGCAGCGGGGAGGGGGCGGCCCCGCUUUUCGCUCCCCCCGCUCGUGUGACCCCCAUAACCCCGCAGCAGCGCCGGGGAGGGGUUGAAGUCACACCGCACGCGUUUCUAUGGGGGAAGGGGGGGGAGAAAACAAAGUUGAAAUGUUUUCAUUUCUACCUCUUUUCUUUUUUCCUCCCCGUACAUCGCAAAGAGGCGCACAAAGCGGAGCUGCCGGGGGGUCCCGGAGUGGCCCCCGCCGCCGCCCGGCUCUCACGUGGCCCCGCGGCCGCCCCGGGCGGACACAAAGAGGAUUCGUCGUGGAGGUGUUUCGGGGGGUGCCAUUUUUCUGGUUGGUUUUUUAAUUAUGAUCUCUUCCCCCCCCCCCCCCCUCCCGGUUUGUUUGCUUAAUUAUUAUUAAUUUGUUUUUUUUCCCUCUCUCUCUCUGCAAAAAUAAACUCCCAACAUCUUAGAUUUUGUUUCUUUAUUGUACAAUUUAUAAAACAUCGCGCUGCCCUCCCGC
ensembl:lncRNA